AGGCUCCUGGCUCCUCUGCCAGGCAGUUCUGAAAUGCUUUCCUUUGAAGCAGGGAGUUUAUUUCGGGCCCACCGCAUGACCCGCGAUGGCAAGCCAAACUAUAAGAUGUUGUGCAUCUCGAAUGUCCUGUUUGGAGAUCGCCCGGGGGAGGCCGCCCGCCGCCCGCAGCCCCUCCACGGUGCGUCAAUUAGGGACCUCGCGGCAGAGAGCAUCUCGGAGCACGGCCCUCACGUGACGUCCUCAUCCGUGAUCCUUGACACGGAGGCCAUAUAUGGGUGCUGUCAUCACCCCCAUUUCACAGAUGCGGAGACUGAGGCUCAGGGGGUUGGGGAACUUGUCCGUAAUCUCAUGAUGUAUAAGAGACGGUUUAGGUCUGAACCGCAACUGCCUAAUACAGAAAGCGGUGCCUUUAGCCACAGCCACCCACCGCCCCCGGCCACCCUGCCCCGUGUAACGGGGAAUCCGCAUGUUGGAGCAGAACAAGGAACUAACUCCACAACGUUACGGAGUGGGCACCGUGUCCUCUGAUGUGUGGCAGGUUGUACUUUCCUCUGGACCAAUCCGGAUCCCCUCACCCUCCCAGGCCUGGGACACGGUGCUCCUGAAGCCGGCUGGGGCCUACCUGAGUCACAACUGAUCCUUCACACGAGAGUGGUCAGGACAGAAAGAAACGGCAGGACCAUGGGCUCAGCCAGCCUCACCGCUCCCUGCUCUAAACCCCUCGUGCAAACCAGCGACCAUCCCCAGCUGGCGGCGCUGAGCUACUCCUGCUCCGAAGUGCAGAGUAAGGGGAUCCCUGGGUGGCUCAGUGGUUUACCACUGCCUUCGGCCCAGGGCGUGAUCCUGGAGUCCCGGGAUCGAGUCCCAUAUCAGGCUCCCUGCAUGGAGCCUGCUUCUCCUUCUGCCUGUG